AUCUGUUGCGGGCAGAUGAAAUGAAUAUGCACGUCGAGGCCACCGGCAGUGACAAUCUUGCCCUCAGCAGCGAUGGCCUCCGUGCCGGGCCCAACAACAAUAUCGACCCCGGGUUGGAUAUCGGGAUUUCCCGCCUUGCCGAUCGCCGCAAUACGCCCGUCCUUGAGCCCGAUAUCCGCCUUGUAGAUCCCAAUAUAGUCAAUGAUCAGCGCGUUGGUGACCACGGUAUCGACCGCGCCGUCAGCGCGGGUUGUCUGGGCUUGUCCCAUGCCGUCGCG
rnacentral:sRNA from 1 species